rnacentral:lncRNA from 1 species
AUCCGAAUAUAUAUAUUUGCCGAAUGCCCAAAUCGCAUCUUUGGUUGCUUGUUGAAACCGUGGACGGGCAUGCCUUACAUGUCCUGCUGGAUAGAUGCAUAAGACUUUCGGCGAAAGAGAUGUCAUGGUCCACUAUAAGAAAAAUGAAGCUUGUGAUAUUCUAGUUCUAGUUCGAAAGUCUAUGGGACCACUUCUUUUCUCGUGUUUUUUUUUUCUUUCAUUUUGGAGAAUACUUCUCGUGUAUUUUUCCCCAUCAAAAUUAAUAUUCAUAUAUCUGUAAAGAAUAGAAUAGUUCCACAUAGAAACCUACAAAGAGAACCAUUUUGUUAAGAAUUAUACAGUACAUGCAUUCACUCUAUUAUUAUGAGUACCUUCUAAAUCUCAUAUUAUCGACGAACAUGUUCCUUGUUGCUAAAAACAGUAUUGUUAAAUUAUAGAAUAAUAAAUCUAAAAAUGUAUAAGUACCUAUUUUUUUUACGAAAAAUUGUGAGGAUAUCCUCACAACGCAAAUUUUAUAAAAAAAAGAGUUAAAUGUACUAACGGUCCUCAAAUUUGUAAGGGUGUGCCAUUUAGGUUUAUAAAUUUUAAAAAUAUAUUUAUGGAUCCCUAAAGUGGUGUACCAUAGGUUUAUGCUAGGUACAUGGGCAUUUCUUGCUGAUGUGUCAUACUAGUGUGUUGUAUUUUUACACAUUUAUAAGCGCUCUCCUUUUUCCUCUCCUCUCACAAAUAGAUCAUUUCUUCUUCUUUCUUCUCUCUUCUCUCACUCGACCGUAGGUCGUGCAUAGUUGUGGCCUUGGAUGGGCUGGGGUUAGCGCAAGAGAAGAGGAAAAAAGGGUCCAUUUGUUUGAGAAGAGAAAAUAAAACAGGUUAAAUGUAAAAAACACCAUGUCAUGUUGGCAUCUCACAUCAGCAAAAAAAAAAAUG